rnacentral:rRNA from 1 species
UACGAAGGGGGCUAGCGUUGUUCGGAAUUACUGGGCGUAAAGCGCGCGCAGGCGGCUAUCCAAGUCAGUGGUGAAAGCCCGGAGCUCAACUCCGGAACUGCCAUUGAAACUGUUUAGCUUGAGGAUGAGAGAGGUGAGUGGAAUUCCCAGUGUAGCGGUGAAAUGUGUAGAGAUCGGGAGGAACACCGGUGGCGAAGGCGGGUCUCUGGGCAUCUCCUGACGCUGAGGCGCGAAAGCGUGGGGAGCAAACGGG